GUCUUUUUGAAUUAAAUUUAAAGUUUGACCUGCCCAUUGAAAUAUUUAAAAGGCUGCGGUAUUUUGACCGUACAAAGGUAGCAUAAUCAUUAGUUUUUUAAUUGGGAACUAGAAUGAAUGGUUGAAUGAGAUAUUAACUUUUUUAAAUAAAUUAUUGAAUUUUACGUUUUAAUUAAAAGGUUAAAAUAAAUUUAAAAGACGAGAAGACCCUAUAGAGUUUUAUAAUUUAAUUUUUAUUUUUUAAAUAGAUUAUUUAAAAUUUUAAAGGUAAAAUUAUUUUAUUGGGGUGAUAAUAAAAUUUAAAAAACUUUUAUUUUUUUUUACAUUAAUAUAUGAAAAAUUGAUCCAUUAUUAAUGAUUAUAAAUUUAAAUUACCUUAGGGAUAACAGCGUAAUUUUUUUUUAAGUUCUUAUUAAUAAAAAAUUUUGCGACCUCGAUGUUGGAUUAAGAUUUUAUUUUAGGUGCAGCAGUUUAAAAUUUAAGUCUGUUCGACUUUUAAAUUCUU
rnacentral:rRNA from 1 species